rnacentral:rRNA from 1 species
AAAGGAAUAGACGGGGGCCCGCACAAGCAGUGGAGUAUGUGGUUUAAUUCGAAGCAACGCGAAGAACCUUACCAGGUCUUGACAUCCCGGUGACCGUCCUAGAGAUAGGAUUUCCCUUCGGGGCACCGGUGACAGGUGGUGCAUGGUUGUCGUCAGCUCGUGUCGUGAGAUGUUGGGUUAAGUCCCGCAACGAGCGCAACCCCUACUAUUAGUUGCUACAUUCAGUUGAGCACUCUAAUGGGACUGCCGUUGACAAAACGGAGGAAGGUGGGGACGACGUCAAAUCAUCAUGCCCUUUAUGACCUGGGCUACACACGUACUACAAUGGCGAUUAACAGAGGGAAGCAAGAUAGCAAUAUGGAGCAAACCCCUAAAAGUCGUCUCAGUUCAGAUUGUGGGCUGCAACUCGCCCACAUGAAGUAGGAAUUGCUAGUAAUCGCGGAUCAGAAUGCCGCGGUGAAUACGUUCCCGGGCCUUGCACACACCGCCCGU